GGGAGACAACAAGGGGUUGCAACUUUCAAAUCAAAUAAUUGCAUAGGUUUCAGGUUGCAAAGGACCUCUAUUAAAGCCCUCACUUUAACAAAUAGUGCAAAUAAAGGAACUUCUAGUGGGAACAACAGAUACUCCCCACCUGGAACUUUAGGGGAAUGCAGCAGCACAAAGUCAAAGGUUCUAUUUAUAGUGUUCAACCAACAUAUUAAAUUCAACAAGAAAGCAAACUCUACCAUGGAAUUAGAAUA
rnacentral:misc_RNA from 1 species